GAUUGAUUAUAUUGUCUCACUGUGUCUCUGUUUUACUUUGGCAGCCUUCUAUUUGGGAGAUUUCCCCCGACAUUUCUUGGUCCUUCGAGCCGGAUGAGACAGCCUAUUUAAAGCAGCUCUCACAGAAGGCGCCUCACCAGGUCCCGUCGGUGCGAGAAGCCCACGUUGAAGUCUGCCGGCAGCUCACGCACUAGGUGCGUGAUAAAACCCAAGAGCGUGAAUUCGGGUCUUGGUCAACGUUUUACAAGCGGUCCGCACCGUCGGGGGCUGAUCAGGUGCAUCUGAAGAAACCAGCGCCAAGGGACCACCCCGAUACGAGGUAAUCACCGUCGAAAACGCUGGACGUGACAACGGAACGUGUGACCAGCUCUUCUGGAUCAACUUCAACGUGACGAAUCGGAACACAUCCAUUCACUUCCCAGUGUUCUUGGACCAAACCCCAGGGAAGAACCACUCCAUGUGCUACCGACAAGACAACGGUAACAGACCCCUAGGCAACACCACCAACUGUAACCAAACCGCUGCCAACGGAGAGGGCGCACCUGUAAACACGUCCGCGCCCAGCAACGGCACCUACUGGGUGCAGGGAAUGGCCUGGCUGUGUGGACAACGUGCCUACUUCAUACUACCACCCGGAUGGACGGGCACCUGUGCCCCAAUCUUCAUCUCAGACCACACCUUCAGGAUGUCAGCUGUAAAUAGCUCUCAGACUACAAGACGACGACGAGACGUCUCCACACUACAACCACAUGACCCCAUCUAUGGCAGUGAUGUGCCAGAGGAAUUUAAGCUUUGGACCACCGGACAAAAGGUCCUCCACUCACUGUUUCCAUGGGUGGGCACCGGAAAGAACAUGUUAAGGAUUGACACUUUGGACUGUUCCUGAAUGCCUCGUGCAAAAUCAACAAUCAACAAAAUGAAGAGAUUGAUGCCCUGCGCAUAACUGUGAUGCAACACCGAGUCGCACUGGACAUGAUUCUGGCUGAGAAAGGAGGACUCUGUAUACUCUUUAACAACACAUGCUGUACGUACAUUCCAGAUAAUGUUCACUCUUCCAACAUGACCGACGCCUUACGCACGCUGAAACAACUCAGGGACGCUCAGCAACAGGACUAUGUCACGAACACUGAGGAUUGGCUUACCUGGCUGUUGAGUGGUUCCUGGAAAUCUCUUUUAAUAAAAGGACUGGUUUUUGUAGGAGUUCUUCUACUCCUACUCUGUUGUUUUACUUCUUGUAUUUUGCCAUGUGUACAAUCAAU
ensembl:lncRNA